UACGUAGGGGGCAAGCGUUAUCCGGAUUUACUGGGUGUAAAGGGAGCGUAGACGGCGAUGCAAGUCAGAAGUGAAAGCCCGCGGCUCAACUGCGGGACUGCUUUUGAAACUGUAUGGCUGGAGUGCAGGAGAGGUAAGCGGAAUUCCUGGUGUAGCGGUGAAAUGCGUAGAUAUCAGGAGGAACACCAGUGGCGAAGGCGGCUUACUGGACUGUAACUGACGUUGAGGCUCGAAAGCGUGGGGAGCAAACAGG
rnacentral:rRNA from 1 species